AUUGAACGCUGGCGGCAGGCCUAACACAUGCAAGUCGAACGAGGGGCGGACGGGUGAGUAAUGUCUGGGAAACUGCCUGAGGGAGGGGGAUAAAUACUGGAAACGGUAGCUAAUACCGCAUACCAUCGGAUGUGCCCAGAUGGGAUUAGCUAGUAGGUGGGGUAACGGCUCACCUAGGCGACGAGCCCUAGCUGGUCCGAGAGGAUGACCAGCCACACUGGAACUGAGACACGGUCCAGACUCCUACGGGAGGCAGCAGGGGGGAAUAGUGCACAAUGGGCGCAAGCCUGAUGCAGCCAUGCCGCGUGUAUGAAGAAGGUCUUCGGAUUGUAAAGCACUUUAAGUUGGGAGGCGUUACCAACAGAAUAAGCACCGUCUAACUUCGUGCCAGCCGCCGCGGUAAUAC
rnacentral:rRNA from 1 species